AUGCAACCAGAGAGUAAAGAGUGGAAUGUGGAGCUUAUAAGGCAAAUUUUCAACCCCUUUGAUGCAGAUGAAAUAUGCAAAUUAUCCAUUCCAAGGUCUAACGCAGAAGAUUGUAUUGCUUGGCACUAUGAAAGAAACGGGGUUUUCUCAGUUAGAAGUGCAUAUAAACUGGCCGCUGCAACACAUGGGCAGACCCGACAGUCCCCAUCUAGCUCGUCAAGGGAGCCUGACGAUAGGAGCAUCUGGGACCUCAUCUGGAAGUCGAAUGUCCCACCAAGAGUGAAAUUUUUUGGUUGGCGAGUUGCCACCAAAACGCUAGCCACGAAGAAGAACAAGUGGAGGAGGACCUUGGAGCUGGAUGCCACCUGCAACAUCUGUGGUUGUGGCGAGGAAGACGAAUUCCAUGCGGUGGUAUCAUGCACUAAAAGUCGAGCUCACAGAUAUGAAAUGAGGAAAGAAUGGGAACUCCCGCCCGAGAACUCUUUCCGGUACACGGGCCCGGACAGGCUGCAACUGCUAUUAGGGACAGCAUCAGAGGACGUGAGGGCGAGGGUGAUGAUGCUUCUUUGGAGGGGAUGGCAUCUACGUGAUGAUUGUGUCCAUGGAAAAGGCAAGGAAUCAAUUGGCCAUUCUGUCCAAUUUCUCCUGAAAUACGAGGAAGAAAUACAGUUGGCAAAAACCACUACAUAUCUCUUCGGAGGCCCACUGCCAGUACUGGAGUGCAGAGUGCUGAUCAAAUAUUAA
rnacentral:rRNA from 1 species